rnacentral:rRNA from 1 species
GGGCCCGCACAAGCGGAGGAACAUGUGGUUUAAUUCGAUGAUACGCGAGGAACCUUACCCGGGCUCGAACGGCUGCAGAAUACGGAAGAAAUUUCGUAGCCAGCAAUGGCUGUAGUCGAGGUGCUGCAUGGUUGUCGUCAGCUCGUGCCGUGAGGUGUCGGCUUAAGUGCCAUAACGAGCGCAACCCUUACCGAUAGUUACCAGCGAGUAGUGUUGGGGACUCUGUCGGGACUGCCACCGUAAGGUGUGAGGAAGGUGGGGAUGACGUCAAAUCAGCACGGCCCUUACGUCCGGGGCGACACACGUGUUACAAUGGGGGGGACAAAGGGCAGCUACACAGCGAUGUGAUGCGAAUCUCCAAACCCUCUCCCAGUUCGGAUCGAAGUCUGCAACCCGACUUCGUGAAGCUGGAUUCGCUAGUAAUCGCGCAUCAGCCCAUGGCGCGGUGAAUACG